UGGUUAUUACACAUUAUAGGACAACCUUACACCCUUUAAAUACACACUAUGUCACAUGACUUAUGCAUAUGGUGAAGAUAUGUAAAACACAAAACGAGUUUAAAACCCAUAAAUAAAUGGUGAGGAUCAAGACUUAUUCUUCCUAUUCGACCUAGCAUCAUCGCCAUGGUUGCCCAUCAAUGAAGCCCUCCUUGACAUGAUGAUCAAUUGUAGAAUCUCAGUGUGUACUGGCGCCUUUUACUGUCGGUCUGAGGAAAAAUAAGGGGACAAUGCUAAUCACUGAGUUAGGGUCUUUUACCCGGAGUCAAUCUACAGUGCAAAUAAUCAUAUAACAAAUAACCCAUAAUGUAACACAUAAGGCUUCCUACAACUCCACUAAUUUCUUUCAUAUUAUAAUUGGGAUCUGGGCACACAUAGGUGGAACCUAUCCGGGGCCGUAAACUCAUAGCAUAGGGAAUACCCAUUAUGGGCCAUAUACUCGUAGAAUAAAUUGUACUGGUUAGGGGCCAUAUACAUGUAGCGAAAGUGCAAUAUGCACACACAUAGAUCGCCAUUAUACAUGCCAUAAUCUAGGUGAUCAAGAAUUUACCCAUUUACUUCCUUUAGAAUAAUUAUCUAUGUGAAUACUCAUUAAGUAAGAUAAGGCCACAACAUAUAUCAUGCGAAAGAUGAUAGCAAGACAAAAAAAUGUAUGUCAUUUCAUGUCCACCAUAAGACACAAAUACAAUAACCAAAAUGAAAUAAAUGCAUAGGGCCACACUCCUAGCAUGCAUGUAUAUGGCAGGUAAAACUAGAAAUAGACACGUAAAGGAACGUCUAACCCUGUCGGAUAUAUAGGAGACCCUCACUGAAAAAGUCUAGCAAAAAACCGGUAUGAGUCUUCGGGUCGAAGCCCCUCUCAACUUUUGCAUUCUCUAAUCCCACCAGAAUGCACAAUUCUCAC
rnacentral:lncRNA from 1 species